CGCAGCGGUAAUAGCUCGUUGAAUACAUCAGUUCUCAACGAUUCACUGAAGUUAAGCAACGGUGCACGUUACUGGUAUUCGGAUGGGUGACCAUCUGGGCAAGUGUGUGCUGUUGGCU
rfam:Asian citrus Psyllid, Diaphorina citri - Florida Strain, whole genome shotgun sequence.